AUGCUACAAUUCUGUUUGCCAAGAAGUGAUGAAGAUGAUGUUAGGAUUGGUGAGAAGUUAGUUAGGCUGUUUGUUAUUCUGUUAUGCAGUUGGUUACUGAAUGUUAGUUAUGGCCAGUUCGGUUUUCUGUUUGAAGUUUUCUUGAUUUUCUGUUACAAGUUAUGGAGUGGUUAUGGCAGGAAUGAACUGGCUGGAGUAAUGCUGAGGUGGUUAGUCGCGAAUCUGGAUGAGGCAUGA